UCCUACGGGAGGCAGCAGUGGGGAAUAUUGCACAAUGGGGGGAACCCUGAUGCAGCAACGCCGCGUGAGCGAUGAAGGUCUUCGGAUUGUAAAGCUCUGUCUUCGCUGACGAUAAUGACGGUAAGCGAGCAGGAAGCCACGGCUAACUACGUGCCAGCAGCCGCGGUAAUA
rnacentral:rRNA from 1 species